UCGAGAAUCUUUCGCAAUGGGCGCAAGCCUGACGAAGCGACGCCGUGUGAGCGAAGAAGGCCUUCGGGUUGUAAAGCUCUUUCGCUAGGGAACAAGAAAGGUGGGAUAACACUCCACCAAUUUGAUGGUACUUGGUAAAGAAGCACCGGCUAACUCCGUGCCAGCAGCUGCGGUAAUACGGAGGGUGCAAGCAUUGAUCGGAAUUACUGGGCGUAAAGGGCGCGUAGGCGGCCAGACAAGUCGGAUGUGAAAUUCCGGGGCUCAACCCCGGAGCUGCAUUUGAAACUAUCUGGCUAGAGUUUAGUUAGGGAAAACGGAAUUCCACGUGUAGCGGUGAAAUGCGUAGAUAUGUGGAAGAACACCGGUGGUGAAGACGGUUUUCUGGGCUAAUACUGACGCUGAGGCGCGAAAGCAAGGGGAGCAAACAGGAUUAGAUACCCCCGUAGUCC
rnacentral:rRNA from 1 species